rnacentral:rRNA from 1 species
UACAGGGGGGGCAAGCGUUGUUCGGAAUUACUGGGCGUAAAGGGUCUGUAGGUGGCCAACUAAGUCAGACGUGAAAUCCCUCAACUUAACUGGGGAACUGCGUCUGAUACUGGAUGGCUUGAGUGUGGGAGAGGAAUGCGGAAUUCCAGGUGUAGCGGUGAAAUGCGUAGAUAUCUGGAGGAACACCGGUGGCGAAGGCGGCAUUCUGGACCAUAACUGACACUGAGAGACGAAAGCCAGGGGAGCAAACGGG